rnacentral:rRNA from 1 species
GACGAACGCUGGCGGCGUGCCUAAUACAUGCAAGUAGAACGCGCAGUUUAUACCGUAGCUUGCUCCACCAUAGACUGUGAGUUGCGAACGGGUGAGUAACGCGUAGGUAACCUGCCUGGUAGCGGGGGAUAACUAUUGGAAACGAUAGCUAAUACCGCAUAAUAUUGAUUAUUGCAUGAUAAUUGAUUGAAAGAUGCUAUUGCAUCACUACCAGAUGGACCUGCGUUGUAUUAGCUAGUAGGUGAGGUAACGGCUCACCUAGGCGACGAUACAUAGCCGACCUGAGAGGGUGAUCGGCCACACUGGGACUGAGACACGGCCCAGACUCCUACGGGAGGCAGCAGUAGGGAAUCUUCGGCAAUGGACGAAAGUCUGACCGAGCAACGCCGCGUGAGUGAAGAAGGUUUUCGGAUCGUAAAGCUCUGUUGUAAGAGAAGAACGGGUGUGAGAGUGGAAAGUUCACACUGUGACGGUAUCUUACCAGAAAGGGACGGCUAACUACGUG